GCUAUGAGAAUCCUCUUUCUGUUGAACUUGAUAUUACGUUUCGAGAGGAAUUCAUUCUUAUAGAGAGAAAGCUUGCACGACUUUGAGACUGUUUAUCUCAAGAGAAUACUCGAAAGACUCCAGAAGAAACAGGGGAGGUGGUUCAAGACUCGACGCAGGAAGAAGACGUUAUGAAAGACGAUAGUUUUGAGGAGGUUGUUUCUAUUGUAAACAAUGCUCCAAUGCUUACUCUUGACCUCAAUAAAACACCAGAAGAGAAUGGGGUCUUUUGAGUCAUGUUGUUUGGACUUGUUAAUUUGAUCUUGUUAGAUACAUCUGAAUUUUUAUGGACAUUUAGUGGAUCUGGUUAUUGAACAAUUGGCAUGUAAUUGAUAUACUCGGCUUGAAUGAUGUAUCUUUUUAAUUGGUGUGAACUUAAUGAAGUAGC